AGGUUUGAUCCUGGCUCAGCCUGAACGCUGGCGGCGUGGCUAAGACAUGCAAGUCGCACGGGUGUAGCAAUACACCAGUGGCGAACGGGUGAGUAAUGAAUCGCUAACGUGCCCCGGACUCCGGGAUAGCCGGCCGAAAGGCCGGGUAAUACCGGAUGACAUCCUUCAGUCGCAUGGCUGGAGGCUCAAAGGUCCGCCGGUCUGGGAGCGGGCGAUUUCGUAUCAGCUAGUUGGUGAGGUAACGGCUCACCAAGGCGACGACGCGUAGCCGGACUGAGAGGUUGGCCGGCCACAUUGGGACUGAGACACUGCCCAGACUCCUACGGGGGGCUGCAGUAACGAAUCUUCCGCAAUGCACGCAAGUGUGACGGAGCGACGCCGCGUGGAGGACGAAGUUCUUCGGAAUGUAAACUCCUGUCAGGGGAAAGAAAGUUCUGAUCUACCCCAGAGGAAGAGGCGGCUAACUCUGUGCCAGCAGCCGCGGUAAUAC
rnacentral:rRNA from 1 species